GCGGAGGGUGGAAUCACAUGACAUCAGAGACGCUAACCCUGGGAAGUUGGGCGUCGCGAGGCCUUGCUGAGCCUCGGCUUCCUGGCUGGCUCUGAUUGGAUGAGAUUCGUCCGGGAGAGACGGGCUCUGUGAGCCCUCAAAGGCGCGUGCGUAAAUUUUGGACCGCGAUGACUAAGAUGUCAGUGCUGGCCAAAGGGGGCGCCGAGAAGCUGAAGGAAAGAAGACGCAGAAUGUUAGAUUAAAGGAGGCAGGAUGGGCUAAAUACUCCUAUACAGUCCACGCAAAGAGGGGUUGGACGAGCUCGGAGAGAAAGAAAAUGAUAUAUGUCAGAAACUCAGAUAUCCGUAAAGAAAGAAAGCAUUGGGAAAAGAAUAAAUGAAGGCCUGUGGGAGCUGAGGCUGGAAGGACCUUGUAUGUCAUGCUGAGAAGUCUGGACUACAUGUCUUCAACUGAAGGUUUUCGAGGAGAGGGAUGUGAUUGGAUAUGUGUUGUAGAAAGAUAACUUUGCUUUUUAAGAAAA
rnacentral:lncRNA from 1 species